CAUCUGGGGAUGGCAAACAUGAAGCUAAUGCAAGAAGUGGAGACCAGAUGGAACAGCACAUAUUUGAUUCUGCAACGUUUGAUGGAGCAAAGGGAGCCAGUAGGAGCAGCGUUAGCUGGUUUACAACAUGACGUCUCCUUCCUAACAGCAGAAAAAUUCAACAUUGUUCGAGCGUGCCUUUCUUUGCUGUCUCCCUUCUUUGAUGCCACUGUAGAGCUGUCGGCAGAGGAAAAUGUGUCUGCCUCCAAAGUGGUUCCCCUGGUGAAGAUGCUGGAGCACACCCUUCAGGAGGAAAUGACAAAGCCGGCACCUGCAGCAGCAUUGGAAAUGGGAAACCAGCUCAUCAGGCAACUCCGUGAGAAGCUGUACACUUUGCAGUCGAUGAGCAUCAUGUCUCUUGCUACCCUCCUGGACCCCGAUUUAAAGUCAUAGGAUUUUUCAGCCAAACAAAAGCCACCGAAGCAAUAAAACGACUGACCUCCGAGUGUGCCACCAUUAUACGGUCAAAACAAAGCAGAGAGGAAAUCCCCCAGGCUUCCACCUCUCAUGAUGUCACAGGAGGCAGCAAACUGUGGCAUCGUUUAGACACCAGCGUCAUGGAGGCACAGAAGACUCAAAAUGUAACAGCAGAUGCCACUGUGGAGGUCCAGCGCUACCUUUCCGAGCCAAAUAUAAGCAGGCUGGAAAACCCUCUGGAGUACUGGGAGAGGCAAAAAUUCCUGUAUCAAAAUUUAUAUAGACUUGCUCUUGCGUUUUUGUGCACGCCAGCAUCUUCUGUACCCUGUGAAAGGGUGUUUUCAAAGGCCGGAGAGGUUGUGUCAAAAAAAAGGAAUCGCUUAAAACCAAAAACUGUUGAGAAACUGUUAUUUCUGAAUAAAAAUGAAUAAAAUGUC